rnacentral:rRNA from 1 species
GUCGAGCGAACAGACGAGGAGCUUGCUCCUCUGACGUUAGCGGCGGACGGGUGAGUAACACGUGGAUAACCUACCUAUAAGACUGGGAUAACUUCGGGAAACCGGAGCUAAUACCGGAUAAUAUAUUGAACCGCAUGGUUCAAUAGUGAAAGACGGUUUUGCUGUCACUUAUAGAUGGAUCCGCGCCGCAUUAGCUAGUUGGUAAGGUAACGGCUUACCAAGGCAACGAUGCGUAGCCGACCUGAGAGGGUGAUCGGCCACACUGGAACUGAGACACGGUCCAGACUCCUACGGGAGGCAGCAGUAGGGAAUCUUCCGCAAUGGGCGAAAGCCUGACGGAGCAACGCCGCGUGAGUGAUGAAGGUCUUCGGAUCGUAAAACUCUGUUAUUAGGGAAGAACAAAUGUGUAAGUAACUAUGCACGUCUUGACGGUACCUAAUCAGAAAGCCACGGCUAACUACGUGCCAGCAGCCGCGGUAACACGUAGGUGGCAAGCGUUAUCCGGAAUUAUUGGGCGUAAAGCGCGCGUAGGCGGUUUUUUAAGUCUGAUGUGAAAGCCCACGGCUCAACCGUGGAGGGUCAUUGGAAACUGGAAAACUUGAGUGCAGAAGAGGAAAGUGGAAUUCCAUGUGUAGCGGUGAAAUGCGCAGAGAUAUGGAGGAACACCAGUGGCGAAGGCGACUUUCUG